CAUUGAAUGGCUGAAAUUUAAGCGCUGGUCUCUUAAACCAUUUCAUAGUUAUAAUUACUUUCAAUGA
rnacentral:tRNA from 1 species